GGCUCAGGACGAACGCUGGCGGCGUGCCUAACACAUGCAAGUCGAGCGGGGAUUGUGGAGAGCUUGCUCAAAACAAUUCUAGCGGCGGACGGGUGAGUAACGCGUGAGCAACCUGCCUAUCACAGGGGAAUAACGCACCGAAAGGUGUGCUAAUACCGCAUGAGACCACAGGACCGCAUGGGUCAAGGGGUCAAAGAUUUAUCGGUGAUAGAUGGGCUCGCGUCUGAUUAGCUGGUUGGUGAGGUAACGGCCCACCAAGGCGACGAUCAGUAGCCGACCUGAGAGGGUGAUCGGCCACAUUGGAACUGAGAAACGGUCCAAACUCCUACGGGAGGCAGCAGUGGGGAAUAUUGGGCAAUGGGCGCAAGCCCUGACCCAGCAACGCCGCGUGAAGGAAGAAGGUCUUCGGGUCGUAAACUUCUAUCCUUGGUGAAGAUAAUGACGGUAGCCAAGAAGGAAGCCCCGGCUAACUACGUG
rnacentral:rRNA from 1 species